GGGCUCGUAGCUCAGUUGGUAGAGCAACUGACUUUUAAUCAGUGGGUCACCGGUUCGAGCCCGGUCGAGCUCACCA
rnacentral:tRNA from 1 species